UACGACUACAUAUCAGGCAUAUCAAUAAGCGGAGGAAAAGAAACUAACUAGGAUUCCCUCAGUAACGGCGAGUGAAGCGGGAAGAGCUCAAAUUUGAAAUCUUCAAGGUUUUACCUUGACGAAUUGUAGUUUAAAGAAGUGUUUUCUGUUGAAGUUUCGGUAAAAGUUCUUUGGAAUAGGACAUCAUAGAGGGUGAGAAUCCCGUAUUUGACCGUUACUUUCAGCUGUGUGAUACACUUUCAAAGAGUCGGAUUGUUUGGGAAUGCAGUCCAAAAUGGGUGGUAAAUUUCAUCUAAAGCUAAAUAUUGGCGAGAGACCGAUAGCGAACAAGUACCGUGAGGGAAAGAUGAAAAGAACUUUGAAAAGAGAGUUAAACAGUACGUGAAAUUGUCAAAAGGGAAGCGUUUGACACCAGUGUUGUUUUUCUCGAAAAUCAAUUAAAAAUGGCUUGAUUUUGUGUUGUAUUGACCUUAAAAGCUUUCUUCACUUUUUUCAUGUCUUAUUUUUAAUGCACUUUUCGUUUAACAAGUCAACAUCAGUUUCUUUUGUUGUAAAAAGGUCAUUGGAAGGUGGCUUUCUUUUCGGAGAAAGUGUUUAUAGCCUUUGACUCCUGCAAUCGGAGAGACUGAGGUCAUGCAGCGUAGAUCCUUUGGGAUUAGAUUACAUUUGUGCUAAGUUAUAGCUUUUAUAGACUAACAUGUUGACUAUGAUUAGUCAUUGUAGCUUACUCGCUUACUGCUAUUUUACCUACGCUUAGGAUGUUGACGCGCGUGUGUGCGUG
rnacentral:rRNA from 1 species